GCUAGCGAUACAUUUAAAGGUAAAAUUUUUAAUUUCAUAGUCCUACGGUUAGAUAUUAAAAAUGAGAAUUCGAAUUUCUCUCCUGGC
rnacentral:tRNA from 1 species